ACACGACUACAUUAGACUACCCGGUAGUCCUAGCCGUAAACGAUACUCGCUAGGUGUCGGCCACGGUGCGACCGUUGUCGGUGCCGUAGGGAAGCCGUGAAGCGAGCCACCUGGGAAGUACGGCCGCAAGGCUGAAACUUAAAGGAAUUGGCGGGGGAGCACCACAACGGGUGGAGCUUGCGGUUUAAUUGGAUUCAACGCCGGAAAUCUUACCGGGACCGACAGCAACAUGAAGGCCAGGCUGAAGACUUUGCCGGAUUAGCUG
rnacentral:rRNA from 1 species